rnacentral:lncRNA from 1 species
AUGAAGCCCUGGGAUGUGACAGUCUUGUGGUCCCCUCAGCUUCUGGCCCGUCUGUCCCAUUUUCUCUUCCAUCCACCCUGUUGCAGAGCUCAGCCAGUCUCCAGUUUCCACAUGACACCCGUCACCGUAAGCAUUUUGCUAGAGGGAAGCAUCCUAAGUUUGGUGCAGUGGGUUUGCUCCACCCGGUGUUGCUCUCGUCUGCUUGAACCAAGAUAGCUCACGGUACAGCUCUGCUCCAAUCGGAAGGAUGGAGGGAGUAGGAAAGAAGACCACAACUCCUCCCUUCAAAGCUUCUCCCUGGAAGUUGUCUACCUCACUUUCUUUCACACAACAUUUCCUGGAAUCUGGUCACGUGGCUACAACUAAUUGCAAAGGAGGUUGGGAAAUGUAAUCUUUAUUCGGAGGUCACUUCUUGGGCUAAAAUUUAGAGUCCGUUGCUAUGAGAGCAAAAGGGACACUAAAUAUUGGGGGACACUUAGCAGUCUCUUCCACAGCAAGUAAUCAUGAUACAAGGCAACAGGUGCCAAGCUGAGGCCUCAGAGGAAGAAGUUGGAAAAGAUGCCACAAAAGAAGUAACAUUUAGCUGGGCAUUGAAGGGUGAAUAGGAGUUGACUGAGUGUAAAAUGAUCAAACAGCACUCCAGGAAGGGACAGUGGCAUAAGCACUGACUCCUGAGAGCAGAAGGAGAUGUGGGUUUUGCUUUGGAGACUGGAGGCCUAGUGGAAUGGGAAGUGGAAAAUGUCAUUGUGGGGGUGGGAGAGGAUUCAAGCCAUUACAGGCAUAUUGAACUUUAAGGUCAAAAUGAGAAUGCCAAGUUGGGAUGAGAGAUGUGGGUUUGAGCACUGUCCUCGGGAGUGUCAUAACUGAGGCUGUUAGAGUGGCUACUUUCUUCUAAGGAGAAAAUAUACUGAGAGUUGAAAGGCCAGGCAAGGACUGAACCUUCGUGAUGGAGGAAAAGAAUGGUAAGCAGAAAGAACGGCUGUGCAGGGCGGGCAGUCCUUGGAGAGCUUUCCAAGGCCCCUUUCGUCUCUGAAGGGCUCGCUGACACUUCCAGCCUUGUCUCCUCCCC